rnacentral:rRNA from 1 species
AUUGAACGCUGGCGGCAUGCUUUACACAUGCAAGUCGAACGGCAGCGCGGGGGCAACCCUGGCGGCGAGUGGCGAACGGGUGAGUAAUGCAUCGGAACGUAUCCUGUAAUGGGGGAUAACGUAGCGAAAGUUACGCUAAUACCGCAUACGCUCGAGAGAGGAAAUGGGGGAUCGCAAGACCUCACGUUAUAGGAGCGGCCGAUGUCCGAUUAGCUAGUUGGUGGGGUAAAGGCCUACCAAGGCGACGAUCGGUGGCUGGUCUGAGAGGAUGAUCAGCCACACUGGGACUGAGACACGGGCCCAGACUCCUACGGGAGGCAGCAGUGGGGAAUUUUGGACAAUGGCGAAAGCCUGAUCCAGCCAUGCCGCGU